rnacentral:rRNA from 1 species
GACGAACUGUCCUAACGUUGUUCGGAAUCAUGGGGCUUAAAGGGCGCGUAGGCGGUCCGACAAGUCAGGGGUGAAAUCCUGCAGCUUAACUGCAGAAGUGCCUUUGAUACUGUCGGUCUCGAGGGAGAUAGGGGUGUGCGGAACUUCCAGUGGAGCGGUGAAAUGCGUUGAUAUUGGAAGGAACGCCGGAGGCGAAAGCGGCGCACUGGAUCUCUUCUGACGCUGAGGCGCGAAAGCUAGGGGAGCAAACGGG